rnacentral:rRNA from 1 species
AUGAAUGGUAUAUUUUGGAAUUGUAGGGGAGCAGGUAAAAGUGGAAUGAGUACCUGUUUCUCCGACAUGAUUAAAGAUCAUUCCCUAGAUUUCCUUUGCCUUCAAGAGACUAAGAAAAAGAAUUUCCCUCCCAAAAUUAUUAGGAAAAUAGACCCUGCAGCUCGAUUUGAUUGGAAUUGGAUUCCAUCAAUUGGCAAGGCAGGGGGGAUUCUUUGUGGUGUUACGAGAGAGACCUUAGAAGUUAUAUCUUGGAUCCCUGGUAGAUUUUGCUUGCAAGCCAACCUGUAUGAUAUUAACCUCAAGAGUGUCUGGGCUCUCAUUACAGUUUAUGGAGCAGCCCACGACGACAGUAAAGAUGAUUUCCUUGUAGAACUAGCCUCAAUGUGUGCUCGCACGCAAGUUCCGUACAUAGUGGGUGGUGAUUUUAAUAUCCUUAGAAAGAAUUGUGACAAAAACAAAACCUUGAAUCGAUCCCCUUAUAUGGAUAAAUUCAAUUCCAUUAUAGGUUCGUUAAACCUUCGGGAGAUUUACAUGGGAGGAGGCAAAUACACGUGGACUAAUAAUCAAAAACACCCUACCCUUGAGAAACUUGAUAGAGUUUUGAUGAGUUUUGACUGGGAGGACUUGUUUCCUUUGGUUACCGUUCGUAAGUUGGUUAGGGAUGUUUCCGACCACAAUCCACUUCUCUUGUCCUCGGGAGUGGAUAAAAAAAAUAUGCCCCACCAACAUGAGUUCAGAUUUGAACUUAGUUGGCUGCGAGACGAAAAUUUCUACCCCACUGCCAAGAGGAUCUGGGAACAACCAGUCCGAGCUGAUGAUCCUAUUGAUAUUCUUUAUAUCAAACUGAAACGGCUCAAAAAGUACUUUAAAGGGUGGGGUUCCAAUGUCUUUGGUCAUGCUAAGAAAAGAAAAAAAGAAAUCAAAUUGGAAUUGGAAGGGAUCGAACGUAAAGAAGAAGAAGGACCGCUCGACCCUGAUUUAUAUGAGAGGAAAACAGGCUUACAAACAGAGCUCAGUGAUAUCCUUUUUAAUGAGGAGUUAUAUUGGCUAGAACAAUCAAAUGAGCGAUGGCUUUUAAAAGGUGAUCUUAAUACAACCUUUUAUCAUAGGGUGGCGAAUGGUAAGAAGAGGAAGAACACGAUUCAAUCCCUCACAGACGGGGAAGUUGUGAUUGAGGGGACCACCAACCUUUUAGCUCAUGCUACUUCCUACUAUAAGGAACUAUUUGGCCCUGCUAGAGGAAACCUCUUUCACCUAUCUCCUAAUAUGUGGGCUGAAAGUGAGAAACUAACUGAGGACGAUAAUAUUUUGCUCACUAGUAAAUUCAUUGAGGAAGAAGUGAAAAAAGCACUUUUCGACAUGAAGAGCAACCGAGCCCCUGGCCCGGAUAGCAUACCAGCGGAGUUUUAUAAACACUGCUGGGAAUUUGUGAAACAAGAUAUUAUGCAAUUGUUUGAUGCUUUUCAUAACAACACUUUAGAUGUGGCUCGUUUGAACUAUGGGGUGAUAACUCUUAUCCCGAAAGUGAAUGGAGUCAAAAAAAUCCAGCAAUAUAGACCAAUCUGCCCCCUGCGGUGUCCAUACAAACUUAUCACCAAAGGUUUGGACAACAGAGCGACCAUUUUUGCUGAUAUCCUCACCAGCAAGCAUCAAAAUGCCUUUAUAAAACAUAGGAACAUUAUGGAUGGUAUUUUGACCCUUCAUGAAAUUCUUCACCAUACGCAACGAAAGAAAAAAAUUGGCCUGGUGCUGAAACUCGAUUUCGAAAAAGCCUACGAUAAAAUCAAUUGGGAUUUCCUUCUUGAGUGCCAUAAAAGCAGAGGGUUUGGCCCUGUGUGGUGUGGCUGGAUCCACAAAAUCCUUAGGAAUGGGACCAUUAACAUUAAGUUGAAUAAUGAAAAUGGCCCCUAUUUCCAGAGCUGCAAAGGAGUGCGACAAGGGGACCCGCACUCGCCUUUUUUGUUCAAUAUGGCUGUAGAAGCCCUAUCUAAAAUGAUCCUUAAUGCUCAGAAAGAGAAAAUGCUGACAGGCCUGGCCCCGGACCUGAUCAAUGGGGGUGUGGCUAUCCUCCAAUAUGCAGACGAUACUGUCAUUUGCUUUGAGCAUGACAAAGAAGCUGCGGUUAAUUUGAAACUCUUGCUUUAUAUAUUUGAGCUCAUGUCGGGGCUUAAAAUAAAUUUCCUAAAGAGUGAAAUCUUAUACAUAGGGGGGGAUGAUGGCAUACUUACCUUUUACUCUGAGCUCUUCAAUUGCCAAAUUGGCCACUUUCCUAUGAAAUACUUAGGGGUUCCUGUGAGUUAUUCCACUCUCCGUGCGUUAGAUUGGAACUUUGUGGAUGAUAAAUUCCUCAAACGCUGUGAAUCAUGGAUUGGAAAUGCAGCAUCUUCAGGGGGAAGACUGACCUUACUCAAUUCUUCCCUUACUAGCAUCAUAUUCUACUACAUGUCUAUGUUUAUGCUAUCUAAGAAGGUUAUUGAAAAAUUAGAUAAGCAUAGAAAAAAGUUCUUUUGGCAAGAGACUGAUGGUCGGAAAAGAUAUCACUUGGUCAAGUGGUCUAGAAUAUGUAGAUCCAAAAACAAAGGGGGGCUGGGAGUUAAAGAUCUACAUAGACAGAAUAUCAGUCUCCUCAGCAAGUGGUGGUGGAAACUGGAAACCCAGCAAGGCCUUUGGCAGGAGAUAAUUCGUGCUAAGUAUUUCAGAAAUGAUACGGUCCCCUCGGUGAAAAGUAAAUUCGGGGAUUCCCCCAUCUGGAGAGCUAUUAUGAAAGUAAAGGAAAAAUAUUUGGCAGGCAGGGAAGUGAUCUUAAACUCUGGGAAUGUAGCCAGAAUUUGGAAUGAUCCAUUUAGAGGUGCUGCUCCUUUGCGUGAUAAAUUUCCGGCCUUAUUCAACAUUUGUAAUUAUCAGGAAAUUACUGUUGCUGAAUUUAAAAACUUUGAGGGUAAUGACCUUUUUAGAAGAAAUCUUCAUCCUCCCCUCACGGAUCAGUGGAACAAUCUGGUUGUGGUGGUUAAUUCCUGGCAUUUAUCUGAUGAGGCUAAUCAGAUUAGCUUGUCUUUGGGUAAAAAAGGUAAAUUCUCGACCAAAUCGGUCUACGACUAUUUGGAAAGAUCCCUGGCUGGAUGUGAUUAUAGAUGGAUCUGGAAAGCAAUAAUCCCCCUCAAAAUCCAAAUAUUUCUUUGGCAAGUGUUCCAAGACGCGGUUCUGACUAGAGAUGUCAUGAGAAGGCGUAACUGGGCAGGCGAUCGUAAAUGCUCGUUUUGCAAUAAUGUGGAAACUUCACAACACCUUUUCUUUACCCGCCCUCUUGCUCGGGUGGUCUGGAGGACGGUCGGGUGUGUGUUGGGCACGUCUCUCUGUCCGAACAACAUCUGGCAGUACUUCUCCUGGUUUUACAAUUUCCUUCCUGAUGGAGCUAAAUUUUACACCUCUGGUUUGGCAGCAGUUUGUUGGGCAAUCUGCAACAGUCGUAACCAGGCUACUUUUGAACACAAAGAUCUCAAAAUCCCUUUUAAUGUGGUGUAUGCUGCUUGUGGUUUUUUGACGUACUGGGCAGGUUUGAGGGCUGGUGAUGAUCGGGAGGCCAUGGAGCGCGGAUCCAAGAUGCUCAGGUCCAGUGCUUCGACGGUGAUGAGAAUCUGCACGGCUCCAACCAAAUCAGCGACGAACUGA